rnacentral:rRNA from 1 species
CAUGUGCACGUCUACACUUUUAAACCCCACACUUGUGAACCCAUUGUAGAUCGAGUCCAUCGAAAAGUAGUGUCGAACUACCUAAUAGAGGGCUAAUUGGCGUAUCGAAAAGUAAGAAGUUUAUUGAAAAGUAGCAUGAACUACCUAAUAGAAAGUUUAGUACCUAAUAGAGGGUUGGUUGGCUUAUCGAAAAGUACCUAAUAGAGGGUCAGUUGGCUUAUCGAAAAGUAAGAGGCUUAUUGAAAAGUAGUGCAAACUACCUAAUAGAAAGCUUAAUACCUAAUAGAGGGCUAGUUGGCUUAUCGAAAAGUACCUAAUAGAGGGUCGGUCGGCUUAUCGAAAAGUAAGAGGCUUAUCGAAAAGUGGUGUCAACUACCUAAUAGAAAGCUUAGUACCUAAUAGAGAGCUAGUUGGCUUAUCGAAAAGUGGUAAGAACUACCUAAUAGAGGACUGAGUUGGCUCGUCGAAACGUAGUUAAUAGAGAGCUAGUUGGCUUAUCGAAAAGUAAGAGGCUUAUUGAAAAGUGGUGAGAACUACCUAAUAGAAAGCUUAGUACUUAAUAGAGGGCUAGUUGGCUUGGCUUAUCGAAAAGUAAAAGGCUUAUUGAAAAGUGGUGAGAACUACCUAAUAGAAAGCUUAGUACUUAAUAGAGGGCUAGUUGGCUUGGCUUAUCGAAAAGUAAGAGGUUUAUUGAAAAGUGGUGAGAACUACCUA